rnacentral:rRNA from 1 species
AUCGUCGCGCUGACCGCCUGGGCCAUCUGGAAGCAUCGCAACGCGGCCAUCUUCGAAGGCCUGCACCCCUCCACCGGUGAUCUGAUCACCGCCAUCAAAGACGAUGCUCGCCUAUGGGCCAAGGUGGGCGCAAAGGGACUCGCUAGCAUUAUUCCUGUAACCUGA